rnacentral:rRNA from 1 species
GAUGAACGCUGGCGGCGUGCUUAACACAUGCAAGUCGAACGGAAAGGCCCUGCUUUUGUGGGGUGCUCGAGUGGCGAACGGGUGAGUAACACGUGAGUAACCUGCCCUUGACUUUGGGAUAACUUCAGGAAACUGGGGCUAAUACCGGAUAGGAGCUCCUGCUGCAUGGUGGGGGUUGGAAAGUUUCGGCGGUUGGGGAUGGACUCGCGGCUUAUCAGCUUGUUGGUGGGGUAGUGGCUUACCAAGGCUUUGACGGGUAGCCGGCCUGAGAGGGUGACCGGCCACAUUGGGACUGAGAUACGGCCCAGACUCCUCCGGGAGGCAGCAGUGCAGAGUAUUGCACAAUGGGCGGAAGCCUGAUGCAGCAACGCCGCGUGCGGGAUGACGGCCUUCGGGUUGUAAACCGCUUUCGCCUGUGACGAAGCGUGAGUGACGGUAAUGGGUAAAGAAGCACCGGCUAACUACGUG